rnacentral:rRNA from 1 species
CCCUUAGAUGUCCUGGGCCGCACGCGCGCUACACUGGUACAUGCAACGAGUUUAUAACCUGUGCCGAAGGGUUCGGGUAAUCUGUGAACAUGUACCGUGAUUGGGAUAGAUUAUUGCAAUUAUUAAUCUUGCACGAGGAAUUCCUAGUAAACGCGAGUCAUCAGCUCGCAUUGAUUACGUCCCUGCCCUUUGUACACACCGCCCGUCGCACCUACCGAUUGAAUGGUCCGGUGAAAAUUUCGGACUAGCGCUUUGAUGCCUUUGUUGGCGACGUUGCGCUGGGAAGUUAGUUAAACCUUAUCAUUUAGAGGAAGGUGAAGUCGUAACA